UACGGAGGGUGCAAGCGUUGUUCGGAAUUAUUGGGCGUAAAGCGCGUGUAGGCGGUUGAAUAAGUCUGGUGUGAAAGCCCGGGGCCUAACCCCGGAAGUGCACUGGAUACUGUUUAGCUAGAGGGUGAUAGGGGAGAGUGGAAUUCAUGGUGUAGGGGUGAAAUCCGUAGAUAUCAUGAGGAACAUCAGUGGCGAAGGCGGCUCUCUGGAUCAUUUCUGACGCUAAGACGCGAAAGCGUGGGGAGCAAACAGG
rnacentral:rRNA from 1 species